UCUUUAUAAUAAAAUUAUUUUUACAAGUUAUUUUAGAUAAAUUUAUUGUUUAAUUAAUUAAUUAUUUUAUUGGGGUGAUAUAAAAAUUUAGUUAACUUUUUAAAUUAAUUUACUAAAAUUAAAGAUUUUUAAAUAAUGAUCUAUUAUUAAUAAUUCAAAGAAUAAGA
rnacentral:rRNA from 1 species